rnacentral:rRNA from 1 species
CUACGGGAUGCUCCAGUGGGGAAUAUUGCACAAUGGAGGGAACUCUGAUGCAGCAACGCCGCGUGGAGGAUGACACAUUUCGGUGUGUAAACUCCUUUUAUAUAGGAAGAUAAUGACGGUACUAUAUGAAUAAGCACCGGCUAACUCCGUGCCAGCAGCCGCGGUAAUACGGAGGGUGCAAGCGUUACUCGGAAUCACUGGGCGUAAAGCGCAUGCAGGCGGUUAAAUAAGUUGGAAGUGAAAUCCUAUGGCUCAACCAUGGAACUGCUUCCAAAACUGUUUAACUAGAGUCUGGGAGGGGAAGAUGGAAUUAGUAGUGUAGGGGUAAAAUCCGUAGAGAUUACUAGGAAUACCAAAAGCGAAGGCGAUCUUCUGGAACAGUACUGACGCUGAGAUGCGAAAGCGUGGGGAGCAAACAGGAUUAGAUACCCUCGUAGUC